UCAUGUAGUUCACUCAGUUGUUGUGAAGUAUAGCUAGUUCACUUAUUAAGCAUUUUAUGCUACAGUUUGUUUUCCUGGUUAUUUGCCUGCUCUUUCUGGAUCAUAUUAGCUGUUUACCGUUUUGGAUUAGUUUGCCUGUUUGGAUAGCUUUGUUACUUACCUGACCUUUGCUUGGAGUCUGGCUACGAUUCUGGGAGUACAUUUAUUUGGAUUAGUUUGCUCUUCAUAUUUUAAUAAAACUCUGCAAAAAUUAUUGUUCAUUAUGUCUCUAGUCACUGGUCAUGCAUUGAACUGAGCCACGGCUGUUCGGGAAAAGGACACAGAUCUACGACAAGGGCUUUACUACUGCCAUGGAAUCAGCAGAGAUGCUCUUCUACCAAGCCUUUCGUAUAUAUGGGCUGCCUGAGACGUUGUGUCAGAUAGGGGGACUCAAUUAACAUCACAGGUAUGACAAGCCUUUUGUACUCAGCUAAACAUCAACCUAAGUCAUACCUCAUGAUUUCACCCUCAGACCAACGGUCAAGAAGAAAAACUAAAUUAGGAGAUCGUCAUUUCCUUCGAUCAUAUUGUAGUAGAAAACAUCAAUGAGUUGAUUCUUAAUGUGGCCAGAGGCUCCCCAUGGUCAGGAGAGCCUUCAAAAGUUCCAGCAGUGGACGACUGGGUUAAGAGGAGCGAGAGAGUUUGGAACGGUGCUCACAUCAAGCUGCAAAAUGCCAUCAGGAGAAAGAUUACAUGCCAACCUUAGGCUGUCAAACAAAGAUCUACAUCUAAGACUUCCAAGCAAGAUAUUAAGUCUGAGGUUCAAGAGUCAUCCCUACCUGAAACUGCUGAGCCCACAACACCACCUCUAUUGGAGAAUGAUAGGUCACCUGCUAAUCUAGUCAAGGAAAUUCUAAAAUUAGACAUCAAGGUUGCAGGAUGUUUUACCUUGUAGUUUGGAAGGGACCCAGAGGAAAGGUCCUGGGUUCCAGCAAAGGACAUUCUUGCCCCUUCACUUAUCAGAGACUUCCAUCUUGAUCACCAAGAUCGGUUAGCUCCUUGACCAACUCCAACUCCUUGUACCACUCCAAGUCACUAGAGGGCACCAUCACCAGAAUAUUGAACUGUUCCAGUAUCUGUUUAGAGUGUAUAAAUAGUCAUUUAUUUCACUCAGUAGUUGGGAAGUAUUGCCAGUUCACUUGCUGCCUCACUGAGUGUUUUAUGCUGCAGUUUUUCCCCCUAGUUAUUGUCUGUUUGCCUGCUCUUUAUGGAUUAUGUUUGCUGUUUACUGUUUUGAUUUAGUUUGCCUGUUCGGAUACCUUUGUUACUUAUCUAACCUUUGCCUGGACUGCAAAUGGAUUCUGAAUUGACUCAAAAGUUACAAUUAACUCUGUACCACAAGCAAAUAAUACUUUUUGACCGAGACUGGGUUACAAAAGAGGUAAUUACAUUGUCUACAUUGUGUGCAUCCACUGACGUGACGUGACGUGCCGCGACGUGCCGCAAUGGCUUGACACUGUCUUCAAUGGACACUUUGACACAAAUGUUCUAAACCUUUAAUUUGUGUCGUAGCGCCAGCACGUGCAGUGUAAAAUGGAACACAACACCCGUUUAUUGUUGGCACGUCUGCAUCGGACACUUCCAGUGUAGACAGCAUCAUUGAUUAUAAUGGGGUUCUACUGCUUUUGACGCAAUGCGCCGCUCGCGACCGGUGUAGAUAAGGUAUUAGUGUUCUGAUAUUCUGAAUUUUUUAAUGAUAUACUCCCUCUGUUCAAGGAAUGCAAAACAUACUAUAAUUUGUUCUUUAUUUGUUCUUUAUUUAUUUUUAUUUUUUUCAUUUGUAAAUGGUAAUUAAUUGAUUAACACUUGGAUGGUCUUAACGAUCAUGUCUCUACUUUGAACCUGCCGGGUCAAAUUGACCCGUUUUUUAUCCGUGUUCCCUCUAUCUCUCUACUUUUGGUCUUAAAUUGUUAAAUUGCAGCAAACACUAGAAUUUUAUUUUUCUCUGUCAUCUUCUAUCACAAUAUACACAUUUAAAAGUCAGGGGACAUCCAAAUGUGGUUUGUGACUCUGUCUAUAGACAUCCAGUAAAUUUUGAGAAGCCCUGCCCUUCCCCCAUGUUGUAGAAUAUCUCGGCCUCUGA